rnacentral:rRNA from 1 species
UACGGGGGGGGUAAGCGUUGUUCGGAAUUACUGGGCGUAAAGGGCUCGUAGGCGGCCAACUAAGUCGGACGUGAAAUCCCUCAGCUUAACUGGGGAACUGCGUCUGAUACUGGAUGGCUUGGAUUUGGGAGAGGGAUGCGGAAUUCCAGGUGUAGCGGUGAAAUGCGUAGAUAUCUGGAGGAACACCAGCGGCGAAGGCGGCGCUCUGGGCCGGUACUGACACUGAGGAGCGAAAGCGUGGGUAGCAAACAGG